UCUAAGCUGAAGUGCUUCUGUAAAAAUAAGCAUUACUUUAAACUGCUGUGUCAUCCAAGUAAAGGAGUUGUAUUUAUUCACCGAAAGGUCAGUGCAGAUAUGUUCCUGCAAGGAUAAAAGCCAAAGUUCCAGUUACCUCCAGUGAAUUUUCAGGCUGUGAUGAAAGCAACUGGAAUAAGUCUUCCAGAGAGAAAGAAGUAUCUGUCCCAUUCAGAUGUCUCUGCAGGGAAACACAAAAGUUUCUUCUGGGACUCCGAUUAGAAGAACAGGACACACUGGCACAUCCUUUUCCCACCAAACCACAGAAAAAACAUUUUUAAGUGAAGGUUGAAGAAAUGGAAAUUUACAGAUGCCAGAAGAAAGGAGAAAAAUCAAGGCAAGAUAAGAAAAAAGGAGGCUGAUGUUCUGCUGGUCCACUUGGUUUACUGGCUUCUCUGUCUGAUUGUGCCUAACUCUGACACUGUGCUUUCCCUCUAGACACUGUAGAUGAUGUUUAGUCCUAGCUCAAUCAGUCUCUCCCUUUGCACAUUCCGUUACAACCCUGCUCAUGUGCUCAAGAUAUUGCUCCUGCUACUCUCCCCUCUCUUCUGCAUCAACAGUUCUUUCUUUCUCAUCUACUGGACAAUUCCCAUCAGCCUACUAUCAUACACGAAUACCCCCACCUUUAAAAACCCCUCCCUUGGUCCCACACUAGUCUUUAGAUCCCAUCCCAUUUUUUGCUCCCCUUGAGAGCAAAAACCUCCAAAGAGUUAUCUGUACUCAGUGUCUUUUCUCUUCACCCAUCAGCAAAAUUUGACUUAGUUACCAUCUCCUCCUGGAAACAGCUUCUUCACCUGGCAUCCAAGUACCUCUCUAUUCUCCUACCUCAUCAAGAACUUCUGCUUUGCUGAUUCUUUAUCCCCUUGAUAUGUAAACAUAGCAAUGUGCCAAGGCUCAGUCCUCAGGUCCACCAAGCACUCUCCCACUUCACAGCCCUUGUAUUUGCAGCCCUUUCUGCCUGUAAGCUCUCAACCCUCUUAUUCUCCUGACCCCAGGUCUCUUCAAAUAUUUACCAUCUCAGUUUUCUUUCUUAAUCUCUCUAUAUAAAAAACAUCAAAAUCUUUUUCCCUUAUCUUGCUUUAUUUUUUCUCCAUAGCAUUUAGCACCAGCUGAUAUAUUACCAUGUUUAUUUGUUUGCUGUUUGUCCUACUAGAAUGCUAGUUUUUUGAAGGCAAGGGCUCUGUCUGCUUGGUUCCUGCUGUUGGCCACUUCCUAACCCAGAUUCUGGCACAUAACAGACCCUUACUACAUAUUUGUUGACUAGCUGAACUCUUAGACACAAUAUCCUAAGACUUUGAUAGAGAUCUUACUUCUGAUAGAUUGUUCUUUCCUGCAACAAUACUGAUUCCUAUAUAAAUCUGGGGAAGGAAGAAAAGGUGACUGAUCACUUUUUACCUCUCAUCUUUUGCCAAGGUAAGGUUUUUUGUGGUUGUUAAAUCUGAAUAUAAUUAAAUUAAAAACUUUGGAUACCCGAGGCAGCUAACUUUGUUUAAAAACUUGCUAGUGGUAGAGAGAGAAACUUCUAAUCUCGAAAUCAAAUGAUCUAUUUUAGAACCAUGAAGCAAAGUCCCCUAAAUCUGUAAUAUGUGCAUUAAUACAACACACAUGGACACACACAAACAUGCAAACACAAGAAUGUCACCUAUAUUACACAAAUAAUAAUAGGGAAACAAGUGGUUGAUAUAGAUCAAGCCCAUAGAGGAACUGAUCAAGCAAACUUUAGUCUGGGAAGGCUUUUUUUGUGGGGGAAACUUUUUGAGCAUAAUGAAUUGGUAACAAAGGUAUGUAAGAUGUCUUGUCUGAAAACUCAGGAAGAGAAGGACUGGAGGCAGAGAAAUUCUAUAUGAUCAAAAUUCACACUACAGGAAGCCAAAAUUAGGUAUAAUAAUGGAUCAUAACUCAUUGAAUAAAAUGAGUUGAAUAAAAGAAUCAAUGAAUGCACUCAAAUAUAAACAAAUAAAUGAAGGAAAAAGGAAAUCUUUCUUAUAGCAGAAUACAAAUAAUAAAUAUAAAAGGAGAAUGAUGAAUUAGAAAACCAUCAAUGGAUGCUUAAUUUAAGGAGUGAAAAUUUUAUGAGAAGUAAGAUACUUAAAUAGUCUCAAAGUAUCACUCUGCAGAUUACUUGUUAAUUACAAAAAGAAAAAUAAUAGCACUACAGGAGAAAUCUGGCAGACACCAUCUAAAUCAAAUGGUCAACUCUAUCAUCAAAAUAUGAAGUUAAACCAACAUCGUGGUCUCCUGAUAUGGAGGACACAAUACCAUUUCUGUGGUUUUCUCACCAAAAAUUCAUAAUCUCAAUCUAAUCACUGAGGAAACAUCAGAUAAAUCAACAUUGGGGGCCAUUUUUACAAACUAACUGAUUGAUGCCCUUCAACAAUCUAAAGGUGAAGAAACACUGAGAGGAGUGUUUCCACAUUACAGGUGACUAAAGAGACUCGGCAAAUACAUACUGACAGAUUCUGAAAAUGGACUGUAGAUUAGAUAGUAGCCUUACAUUCAGAUUAAAUGUCCUGAUUUGAUAACUGGGUAUAGAAAAGAAAAUCACUGUUCUUAGGAAAUAUACACUAAUAAGUAUCUGGGUGAUGAGGGAUGCAAUGGUUUCAAUUCACAUAUGUAUACAGAGAGACAUCGUUAUUAAUAUAGCUAAAUGAGGCAAGACAUAAAUAGGAAAAUCUGGGUAAAGGGUAUAUAUAUGCCAUUUUUUAAAAGUUUGAAAUUAUAUUUAGCUAAAAGGUUCACCUAAAAAUGCCUACACAGCAAAAUCGCUUUGGCUAAGGCAACAGCAAAGGGUUAGCCCAGAAUAAUUCACCCAUUAAAUUUUGUUUAUUCGUAUUUUGCCCCCAAGUGUAUAGACAUAAACUUUAAUAUUUUCAACUCUUCUAACAUUUAAAUUUCUUAUUUCAUUUUCUUAUCUAAUUGCUUUGGCUAUGCUUCCCAAAUAAUGCUAAAUAAUAAUGGUGAUACCUGAUAUUCUUGCUGAUGAAUUUAAUGAGAAUGCUUCACCAAUAAGGAUGACUUGUAUUUGAGAUACAGUCAGUCAUUUUAAAUUGAGUAUCAAAUACAACACUAGUGCUGGGAAUACGACAGUAAAAAAUACAAUCAGACCCUGCCCCCUUCACAUCUUACAUUCUAUUUUUGUUUUUUUGUAGAGAUGGGUUCUUGCUAUGUUGCCCAGGCUAGUCAAACAAUUCUUCCUCCUUGGCCUCCCAAAACACUGGGAUUAUAGGUGUGGGUCAUCACUCCUGGCCAGAUCUCACAUUCUAAAGAGAGGGAACCAAAAAUACAAGUGAACUAAUGAAAUAACUGCAAGUUAUGGUAAGUGAAAGAGCUAGCUAGCUAUGUGAAAAAAGGAGACAAAGGAAUUCAAGGCAUACAUAAUAUCCAAACGGUAUACUCAUCUGCCUCUUACCAUAGUUUAUUUAACUGGCUUCUUUUUUUUUUUUUUUCUUUUCAGAAGGAGUUUUGGUCUUGUUGCCCAGGCUGGAGUGCAAUGGUGUGAUCUCAGCUCACUGCAACCUCCACCUGCAGGGUUCCAGCGAUUCUCCUGCCUCAGCCUCCCAAGUAGCUGGGAUUACAGGUGCCUGCCACCACACCCAGAUAAUUUUUGUAUUUUUAGUAGAAACGAGGUUUCACCAUGUUGACCAGGUUGGUCUCGAACUCCUGACUUCAGGUGAUCUACCUGCCAGCCUCCCAAAGUACUGGGAUUACAGGCAUGAACCACCACGCCCAGCCUAACUGACUUCUUAAUGGUGAAUAGUUGUUUCUAAUCUUUUCUUAUAACAGAUAUUAAAAUCUCCUCACCCAUACUUCUUUGCAUACGUGUGCAAGUAGGAUACAUUCCUGGAAUUUAUGCCCUGGGUCAAUGGAUAUGUGUAUUUUUUAUUUGAUGGAUUCUACUGAAAAGCCCUUCAAAAAAGUUUGUGCCAAUUAAAAUUCCUACCAACAAUGGAUAAAAGUGCCAAUCUGAUAGAUGAAAACUGGUGAUCAUGGCUUACUGCAGCCUCAAACUCUUAGGCUCAAGUGAUCCUCUCACCUCUCAGCUUCCCCAGUAGCUGGGACUACAGAAACAUGCCACCAUGCCUGGCUAAUGUUUACUUUUUGUAGAGAUAAGGGUCUUGCUGUUUUGCCCAGGCUGGUUUCAAAACUUCUAGGCUCAAGUGAUCCUCUCCACUCAGCCUUCCAAAAGGACUGAGUCAUGCAGGCCAAGAGUGAUUCAUGGUCUUCUUUGAUGUGCUUUUUUAGGCCUUGGUAUCAUUGUUAUCCCGGUUUUGAAAAAAGAAUUGGGAAGCUUUAUUUAACAUUGGAAUUCCUUAUACUUGGAAUAUUUGAAAGAAAUCCCCUUGAAUUCUGUCUGUGCCAGGAGUUUUUUGUUUUUCUGAAGAAACUAUUCUGACAACUUUUUAAACUUAUUUCAUGGGAUACACCAACAGACAUCCAAAAAGGCUGUUCCAACCUACACUGCCAUCUGGUAUGUGAGCAAACCCAUUUCCUCACACCCCACCUACCUUGGGUUUGUUUCUUAAUAUUUGCUAAUUAAAAGGUGAGAAACACAGCUCAUUAGCAGGACAGUCUCGCAGGUUAUCAGCGUACAUAGGAAACGAGGGGUGAAUAUGAAGAUAGUAGGGGCACAACUCUGGACUGAGGUGGGGACAGAUUCGAAAUGUUAGAGUGCCUGCCUGCUCUUAAAGAUGAGCAACUGAAAGAGCCAAGGGAAGGAAGGCAGUGACUACAGUGGAUAUUUCUUCUUUAGUCGGGUAGAGGGAGGAAGACAGCAAGACCUGGGGGCCAUGUCACAUCAGUCUUGAAAACCUGGUUUCCUUAGAGGGCCCCUUCCAGCUCUGACACUCCAAAGGUCUAUGAAUAAGUGACCGUAUAAUUUAUCACCAAACCCGUCCACUUUUGAGAGGGUAAGAGGGUACUAUUAACAAUUAGGCUGGGCAACAAGCAUAAACCAGGACUAUCCCAUAUGGUGACCCACCUGAGGCCACAGGGGAAGAAGAGACUGCAUAGCUCUUAGGAAGCAUUUUUUUUUUUUUUUGGUAGAGACAGGGUCUCGCCAUGUUGCCCAGGCUGGUCUUGAACUUCUGGGCUCAAGCAAUCCUCCCACCUCAGCCUACCAAAGGGCUGGGAUUACAGGCGUGAGCCACCGCGCCUGGCCACUCUCAAGAAUCUGGAUGGCAGACUGAAUUCCACAGACUGAGGGAAGAAAAAUAACCUGCACAGACUUAGGUACCGAAUAAAUAUCUUCUUAGAUGGUC